CAGAAAUAAAGCUGUACAUGUUGGAUAUUUGAAUACUCAGUGUUUUUCUUCUUGACUAAUGACAUGAGUAAGUGAUGUAUCAAAUUUGGCACUGUGCUGACAACUUCUCGAGGCUAUGAAAAACGUCUGGGAAACCUUUCGAACAGCAGGGGGCGUCACCGUACAGGGAAGCUACUGAAGAUCCAGAGGAUUAGUAAAGGUUCGUUGGCUUCCUUGCGAGUGCCAUUGUUGGCUAAAUAAAUGUCCAGUACGUUUUCGGAGGGCUAUUUCUGAACAAUCUUGUUUUACUUGAGAUGGGUCGUUUUAAACGUCGUGGUUUUGACACCAUCACCACAAAACAAGGACAAAGCAGCACGAAUGGGCGCAAGGACACACCUCGGAAGUCCGAUGGAAAAAGAGGCAAAAUGAAGCGACUCCUCUCUAAACCCUGCAAUCCACUGCAUAAGGGACUUGUCCUGUCGCCCAUAAAUGAGUCAACAUGCACAGAUCACAGAAAUGUCCCAACAGCUGCUACCCAGAGGAACAGAACGCUUGAGUCGAAAGACGCUGUGGCCGCACCCAAUUCAAGCACCGAUGACUCUUCCAAUUUUCCAGAAGGUGUUUCUUCCCAACUGACAGAUGGGACUGACUCAGGUGAUACUAGUACCAGCAGUGUGCAGUCGCCGGAGGUGUUCCGAAGAGGGGAUGUCUACGAAGAGAUGGUGGUCUUCCCGAGAGAGGUGUUGGACCUGCAUGUAAAGAACUCGACUCUCCUAGAUGUUAGCCAUGCUGAGAACAUCAACAUGCAGCAGCCUCCUAACCUGUCUUCCAUAGUAGACAUCUCCCAAAUGACACAGGCAAUAGAUCAGGAAAUAAGCCAGCUAGCACUGCCCAUUAGGUGGACAUCUUCGGAUAAGCUGUUCAAUUCCAUGGAAAAAACACCUCUAGCUGAAAGAGCAACUGUGCCCUCAGUCCCGACAAAAAAAAGGUCAGGGACUGUUCGACCCAUGAAGAUCAAAUGCAGAAAGAGGGUAACAUUCAGUUACCCUGUUGCCAAGAAGAUAGAAGUGAAAAAGGUGGAGGCUGCCAGUCGCUACACAGUUAGUGAGAGCACCAGUGAGACAAUAGUUUACUGUAAGGCCGCUUCGCUUGAAGAAGUUUCAAAAGUCAUUAAAAGAAACACACAUCACUCCCUGGAGCAAGCAAAGUUCUUUGACUUUGCAGACGAAAAGGAAAGGGAGACUUUUGUUGAAAUGUUGAGGAAGAAGAAGUCCAUCAUGAGUAGUAUAUUUAGCCUUGCUGGUCAACUUUCGACAGAAUCAUUUGAAGAGGAGGGUGACAUGUUUGACAGGAGUUUGUCCUAAUGAAUAUCUGUCAGUUCCACAUGGUUCUUCUGACUCUGGUUGCUCUGCACAAAAGGGUAUUGCAGAAAUGUGUCAUUACCUAGAAUGUCCAGUGGAGGUCAUGCCUGUCUUUGUGAGACAUUCAAGUCUGUCCACUCAGGUAUUUUACUGAGUAGGGCCAGGAGUAGUAUGAGAACAAGACCUGUUCAUGGUGGUCUAAUAAAAUUCACUAGUUGCUUUUGCUGUUAUUCCACAUGGUGUCCAUGGUGAACUUGUCUACAAAUUUAUGGAAAGUACAUACAUACAUUUGUAUGUAUUUUGGUAGAUGCAAUGUAUUGAAAUUGCCGCUUUUUUUUCUGAGCAUUGCCCACAAAAACGUAUUGGAUCCAAUUAUAUUAUGCCACCUUUCAAAUCACAGUCAAACAUCAAUGUUUGAGUGUACACGUUCCACUCUACUUCCUGUCUUCUUCAGCGUGCUGCCAAACUGCGAGACUGAUUAGCUGGAUAAACAGGUCUGAAAAGACAGUCGUGUGCAAUGAGUGAGACACAACAUGAAAUCCAUUGGGCUUUGAUUUGAUAGUGGGUGGUAGUGACAAAUUGUAUUUAAUUCCUAUUUCCGGGUCACCCCUAAGCAAAGCAAACCCACCCAAAGAACUCAGGACUGUAAGUCCUACUCAGGGGAAAUCCCUGCCACCCUAUUCUGGAAACGUACCGCACACAGUGCCAUGGUAGGAAACCCAUCCUGGAGGGCUGAAACACUUCAGGUCUUUGUUUCUAAGUGAUAGUUAAUUCUCUUUUGCCAGUCUGAUUGGGAGAGGCGAACCAGUAGUGGGUUUCCUAUCUACUGUAUAUUAAUGAUAAUUGACAAUGACUGAUCUGCUGCUAAUAUCUAAGUGCCAACAUAUUAAAUGGGUUAACCAUCCCACAGCCAGUAAAGAUACAACUUGUUAACAUUGUUAUCGUUGGAGGUGAGCAAGCAAACACAUUUUAUCCCCAUUUAACUCUGUAUUUUUGCAAUUAAAUUAACCUCACAAGGCCCUUUUUAUUUUAUGAACAUUUUAGUCAGAGGACCAGUCUGUUAACCUUUUAUUGCCUGUAAUCUAUUUCACACAUGACAUGGAAUACGUGGAUUGGAAUGUUAGCUAAAGCGAAUGUUGCCAAGGUUAUGGAAUUAACUGUAGAUAUGUUCAUUAAUUUUAAAGCUUAUGUAAAAAAAUAAAAAUGAAAUUCUGUUGAUUUAUAUUAGAUGAUGUAAAACUGUUUGAAUUAAACUGUUAACAUA
ensembl:lncRNA